rnacentral:rRNA from 1 species
GACGAACGCUGGCGGCGUGCUUAACACAUGCAAGUCGAACAGUGGCGAACGGGUGAGUAACACGUGAGUAACCUGCCCUCCACUUUGGGAUAACUCCGAGAAAUCGGGGCUAAUACUGGAGAGUGGGGGAUGGGCGCGGGGCCUAUCAGUUUGUUGGUGAGGUAGUGGUCACCAAGGCGUGACGGGUAGCCGGACUGAGAGGGCGACCGGCCACAGUGGGACUGGGGAACGGCCCAGACUCCUUCGGGGGGCAGGAGUGGGGAAUAGUGCACAAUGGGCGAAAGCCGUAUGCAGCGACGCCGCGUGGGGGAUGACGGCCUUCGGGUUGUAAACCUCUUUCAGCAAGGAAGCGGUACUUGCAGAAGAAGCGCCGGCUAACUACGUGCCAGCAGCCGCGGUAAUAC